rnacentral:rRNA from 1 species
ACCAUAUGGUUAAUACCCAUAUGCGAUGACAUUAGCUGCAGAAUAAGCACCGGCUAACUCUGUGCCAGCAGCCGCGGUAAUACAGAGGGUGCAAGCGUUAAUCGGAAUUACUGGGCGUAAAGCGAGCGUAGGUGGCUUGAUAAGUCAGAUGUGAAAUCCCCGGGCUUAACCUGGGAACUGCAUCUGAUACUGUUAAGCUAGAGUAGGUGAGAGGGAAGUAGAAUUCCAGGUGUAGCGGUGAAAUGCGUAGAGAUCUGGAGGAAUACCGAUGGCGAAGGCAGCUUCCUGGCAUCAUACUGACACUGAGGUUCGAAAGCGUGGGUAGCAAACAGGAUUAGAUACCCUGGUAGUCCACGCCGUAAACGAUGUCUACUAGUCGUUGGGUCCCUUGAGGACUUAGUGACGCAGCUAACGCAAUAAGUAGACCGCCUGGGGAGUACGGCCGCAAGGUUAAAACUCAAAUGAAUUGACGGGGGCCCGCACAAGCGGUGGAGCAUGUGGUUUAAUUCGAUGCAACGCGAAGAACCUUACCUGGUCUUGACAUACACAGAAUCUUGUAGAGAUACGAGAGUGCCUUCGGGAAUUGUGAUACAGGUGCUGCAUGGCUGUCGUCAGCUCGUGUCGUGAGAUGUUGGGUUAAGUCCCGCAACGAGCGCAACCCUUGUCCUUAGUUACCAGCGGGUUAAGCCGGGAACUCUAAGGAUACUGCCAGUGACAAACUGGAGGAAGGCGGGGACGACGUCAAGUCAUCAUGGCCCUUACGACCAGGGCUACACACGUGCUACAAUGGUAGGUACAGAGGGCAGCUACACAGCGAUGUGAUGCGAAUCUCAAAAAGCCUAUCGUAGUCCAGAUUGGAGUCUGCAACUCGACUCCAUGAAGUAGGAAUCGCUAGUAAUCGCGGAUCAGAAUGCCGCGGUGAAUACGUUCCCGGGCCUUGUACACACCGCCCGUCACACCAUGGGAGUUGAUUGCACCAGAAGUGGUUAGC